AUUGAACGCUGGCGGCAUGCUUUACACAUGCAAGUCGAACGGUAACAGGCCGCAAGGUGCUGACGAGUGGCGAACGGGUGAGUAAUGCAUCGGAACGUGCCCAGUCGUGGGGGAUAACGCAGCGAAAGCUGCGCUAAUACCGCAUACGAUCUAUGGAUGAAAGCGGGGGACCGUAAGGCCUCGCGCGAUUGGAGCGGCCGAUGUCAGAUUAGGUAGUUGGUGGGGUAAAGGCUCACCAAGCCAACGAUCUGUAGCUGGUCUGAGAGGCCGACCAGCCAAACUGGGACGUUGCGACGGCACAGACUCCUACGGGAGGCAGCAGUGGGGAAUUUUGGACAAUGGGCGCAGGCCUGAUCCAGUAAUGCCGCGUGCAGGAAGAAGGCCUUCGGGUUGUAAACUGCUUUUGUACGGAACGAAACGGCUCUGGUUAAUACCUGGUGCUAAUGACGGUACCGUAAGAAUAAGCACCGGCUAACUACGUGCCAGCCGCCGCCGUAAGAC
rnacentral:rRNA from 1 species